AGUGAACGCUGGCGGUAGGCCUAACACAUGCAAGUCGAACGGCAGCACAGUAAGAGCUUGCUCUUACGGGUGGCGAGUGGCGGACGGGUGAGGAAUACAUCGGAAUCUACUUUUUCGUGGGGGAUAACGUAGGGAAACUUACGCUAAUACCGCAUACGACCUACGGGUGAAAGCAGGGGAUCUUCGGACCUUGCGCGAUUGAAUGAGCCGAUGUCGGAUUAGCUAGUUGGCGGGGUAAAGGCCCACCAAGGCGACGAUCCGUAGCUGGUCUGAGAGGAUGAUCAGCCACACUGGAACUGAGACACGGUCCAGACUCCUACGGGAGGCAGCAGUGGGGAAUAUUGGACAAUGGGCGCAAGCCUGAUCCAGCCAUACCGCGUGGGUGAAGAAGGCCUCUGGGUUGUAAAGCCCUUUUGUUGGGAAAGAAAAGCAGCAGGUUAAUACCCCGCUGUUCUGACGGUACCCAAAGAAUAAGCACCGGCUAACUUCGU
rnacentral:rRNA from 1 species